CUACCACAAAAAUCAGAUAUUUCAUCCCUCGUCUAAAGCUAAAUAAGAAAACAAGCUUGUGGUAUAAACAACCAGAGGUGUUACUAUAAUGAUACUGAAUAAUGCAUUUUUGCAAACAGGCCGGAGCGAUUUUUACAUGUGGUUGUCCCAACCGCAUGCACCAAAUCGUCUACAAAAAUAAAAAUCUUUACAUGCGGCCAGGCCACCCGCAUGCGAGAAUCCGAUUUUCGCAUGCGGGCGCUUAAGCCGACCGCAUGCAAAGAGGAAAAAUCAUGAAAAAAAUAAAUUCAUAAAAUAAAAAAUGAAAAAAACCUAGCGCUGCCGCCGCCCGAGCUCGUCAUCGCN
rnacentral:lncRNA from 1 species